AGCCCUAUCGCCAAAAGGUAAGGCACAGGAAUUUGACUCCUGCAUUUGUUGGUUCGAAUCCAACUAGGGCUG
rnacentral:tRNA from 1 species